AAUAAGCCAUGCAUGCCCGCACACCCGCCAAGCGGCGGACGGCUCAGGACAACGGUUGCACCGGCCGCGGCGGUCCCUGCUAGCCGGACACCGCUGGCUUCCCGGCGCCAAGACGUCGGCGCAAGUGCGGACGCCCGCGCCG
rnacentral:rRNA from 1 species